GGGGAAUUGGGUGCUCGGAGCGCUCCCGGGGCGGCCGCCGGGACUGGCGCUCGUUACUAGGGUGCUGGUGCCACGGACUAAGGAAAAACAAAAUAAAAUCACACAGCAAUAAAGUUGUAGUGAAAAUGGUGUGUGCAUACAGUGGAAUAGUAUUCAGCCUGGAAAAAAGAAGGAACUUCUGUCACCUGCUACAACAUGGAUGGACCUUGAGGACAUAAUGAAGUGAAAUAAGCCAGUCACGAAGAAGCAAUUUUUCAGUGCCGGGCUCUGUGUGAAGCACUGUGGAUAUAGCAUAAUAUGGCCCUCUCUUUGUCCCAAAGGGCCUUUGAAUGACCAGGAGACAAAAAGGCGGACCUGCUGCCUUCUGGAGCUGGGCACCCAUGAUAAUCCGCACCCCCCUUCCUACAUCGCCUGAACACGUGGCUCCCACACGAGACUUUCCCCGCAGCCGGCCUCCCCUAGCCUCCCGCAGCCCCCCCCUCCC